AGGGAAUCUUCCGCAAUGGACGAAAGUCUGACGGAGCAACGCCGCGUGAGUGAAGAAGGCCUUCGGGUCGUAAAACUCUGUUGCCGGGGAAGAACAAGUGCCGUUCGAACAGGGCGGCACCUUGACGGUACCCGGCCAGAAAGCCACGGCUAACUACGUGCCAGCAGCCGCGGUAAUACGUAGGUGGCAAGCGUUGUCCGGAAUUAUUGGGCGUAAAGCGCGCGCAGGCGGCUUCUUAAGUCUGAUGGGAAAUCUUGCGGCUCAACCGCAAGCGGUCAUUGGAAACUGGGAGGCUUGAGUGCAGAAGAGGAGAGUGGAAUUCCACGUGUAGCGGUGAAAUGCGUAGAGAUGUGGAGGGACACCAGUGGCGAAGGCGGCUCUCUGGUCUGUAACUGACGCUGAGGCGCGAAAGCGUGGGGAGCAAAC
rnacentral:rRNA from 1 species